GGGUUGUGAGGUUAAGCGACUAAGCGUACACGGUGGAUGCCCUGGCAGUCAGAGGCGAUGAAGGACGUGCUAAUCUGCGAUAAGCGCCGGUAAGGUGAUAUGAACCGUUAUAACCGGCGAUUUCCGAAUGGGGAAACCCAGUGUGACUCGUCACACUAUCAUUAACUGAAUCCAUAGGUUAAUGAGGCGAACCGGGGGAACUGAAACAUCUAAGUACCCCGAGGAAAAGAAAUCAACCGAGAUUCCCCCAGUAGCGGCGAGCGAACGGGGAGGAGCCCAGAGCCUGAAUCAGCAUGUGUGUUAGUGGAAGCGUCUGGAAAGGCGCGCGAUACAGGGUGACAGCCCCGUACACAAAAGCGCAUGUGCUGUGAGCUCGAUGAGUAGGGCGGGACACGUGGUAUCCUGUCUGAAUAUGGGGGGACCAUCCUCCAAGGCUAAAUACUCCUGACUGACCGAUAGUGAACCAGUACCGUGAGGGAAAGGCGAAAAGAACCCCGGCGAGGGGAGUGAAAAAGAACCUGAAACCGUGUACGUACAAGCAGUGGGAGCACAGGUUUACCUGUGUGACUGCGUACCUUUUGUAUAAUGGGUCAGCGACUUAUAUUCUGUAGCAAGGUUAACCGAAUAGGGGAGCCGGAGGGAAACCGAGUCUUAAUUGGGCGUUAAGUUGCAGGGUAUAGACCCGAAACCCGGUGAUCUAGCCAUGGGCAGGUUGAAGGUUGGGUAACACUAACUGGAGGACCGAACCGACUAAUGUUGAAAAAUUAGCGGAUGACCUGUGGCUGGGGGUGAAAGGCCAAUCAAACCGGGAGAUAGCUGGUUCUCCCCGAAAGCUAUUUAGGUAGCGCCUCGUGAAUUCAUCUCCGGGGGUAGAGCACUGUUUCGGCUAGGGGGCCAUCCCGGCUUACCAACCCGAUGCAAACUGCGAAUACCGGAGAAUGUUAUCACGGGAGACACACGGCGGGUGCUAACGUCCGUCGUGAAGAGGGAAACAACCCAGACCGCCAGCUAAGGUCCCAAAGUCAUGGUUAAGUGGGAAACGAUGUGGGAAGGCCCAGACAGCCAGGAUGUUGGCUUAGAAGCAGCCAUCAUUUAAAGAAAGCGUAAUAGCUCACUGGUCGAGUCGGCCUGCGCGGAAGAUGUAACGGGGCUAAACCAUGCACCGAAGCUGCGGCAGCGAACGUAUCACUUAAAGCGAUUCAGCGGGUUACGAUUGACGGAGCGAAGCGACGUCAAAGCGUAUACAAAGUCGAGUCGGUUUAAGGAUACGUUCGUUGGGUAGGGGAGCGUUCUGUAAGCCUGCGAAGGUGGCCUGUGAGGGUUGCUGGAGGUAUCAGAAGUGCGAAUGCUGACAUAAGUAACGAUAAAGCGGGUGAAAAGCCCGCUCGCCGGAAGACCAAGGGUUCCUGUCCAACGUUAAUCGGGGCAGGGUGAGUCGACCCCUAAGGCGAGGCCGAAAGGCGUAGUCGAUGGGAAACGGGUUAAUAUUCCCGUACUUGGUGUUACUGCGAAGGGGGGACGGAGAAGGCUAUGUUGGCCGGGCGACGGUUGUCCCGGUUUAAGCGUGUAGGUGUGUGUUCCAGGUAAAUCCGGUUCACUUUAACACUGAGGCGUGAUGACGAGGCACUACGGUGCUGAAGCAACAAAUGCCCUGCUUCCAGGAAAAGCCUCUAAGCAUCAGGUAACAUCAAAUCGUACCCCAAACCGACACAGGUGGUCAGGUAGAGAAUACCAAGGCGCUUGAGAGAACUCGGGUGAAGGAACUAGGCAAAAUGGUGCCGUAACUUCGGGAGAAGGCACGCUGACAUGUAGGUGAAGUGAUUUACUCAUGGAGCUGAAGUCAGUCGAAGAUACCAGCUGGCUGCAACUGUUUAUUAAAAACACAGCACUGUGCAAACACGAAAGUGGACGUAUACGGUGUGACGCCUGCCCGGUGCCGGAAGGUUAAUUGAUGGGGUCAGCGCAAGCGAAGCUCCUGAUCGAAGCCCCGGUAAACGGCGGCCGUAACUAUAACGGUCCUAAGGUAGCGAAAUUCCUUGUCGGGUAAGUUCCGACCUGCACGAAUGGCGUAAUGAUGGCCAGGCUGUCUCCACCCGAGACUCAGUGAAAUUGAACUCGCUGUGAAGAUGCAGUGUACCCGCGGCAAGACGGAAAGACCCCGUGAACCUUUACUAUAGCUUGACACUGAACAUUGAGCCUUGAUGUGUAGGAUAGGUGGGAGGCUUUGAAGCGUGGACGCCAGUCUGCGUGGAGCCGACCUUGAAAUACCACCCUUUAAUGUUUGAUGUUCUAACGUGGACCCGUAAUCCGGGUUGCGGACAGUGUCUGGUGGGUAGUUUGACUGGGGCGGUCUCCUCCUAAAGAGUAACGGAGGAGCACGAAGGUUGGCUAAUCCUGGUCGGACAUCAGGAGGUUAGUGCAAUGGCAUAAGCCAGCUUGACUGCGAGCGUGACGGCGCGAGCAGGUGCGAAAGCAGGUCAUAGUGAUCCGGUGGUUCUGAAUGGAAGGGCCAUCGCUCAACGGAUAAAAGGUACUCCGGGGAUAACAGGCUGAUACCGCCCAAGAGUUCAUAUCGACGGCGGUGUUUGGCACCUCGAUGUCGGCUCAUCACAUCCUGGGGCUGAAGUAGGUCCCAAGGGUAUGGCUGUUCGCCAUUUAAAGUGGUACGCGAGCUGGGUUUAGAACGUCGUGAGACAGUUCGGUCCCUAUCUGCCGUGGGCGCUGGAGAACUGAGGGGGGCUGCUCCUAGUACGAGAGGACCGGAGUGGACGCAUCACUGGUGUUCGGGUUGUCAUGCCAAUGGCACUGCCCGGUAGCUAAAUGCGGAAGAGAUAAGUGCUGAAAGCAUCUAAGCACGAAACUUGCCCCGAGAUGAGUUCUCCCUGAGACUUAGAGUCUCCUGAAGGAACGUUGAAGACGACGACGUUGAUAGGCCGGGUGUGUAAGCGCAGCGAUGCGUUGAGCUAACCGGUACUAAUGAACCGUGAGGCUUAACCUUACAACGCCGAAG
rnacentral:rRNA from 1 species